rnacentral:rRNA from 1 species
UACGUAGGGGGCGAGCGUUUGUCCGGAAUCAUUGGGCGUAAAGCGCGUGUAGGCGGCUCGGUAAGUCCGGUGUGAAACCUUGGGGCUCAACCCCAAGCCUGCACUGGAUACUGUCGAGCUCGAGUCCGGGAGGGGAGAGCGGAAUUCCUAGUGUAGCGGUGAAAUGCGCAGAUAUUAGGAAGAACACCGGUGGCGAAGGCGGCAUCCUGGACCGACACUGACGCUGAGGAGCGAAAGCCAGGGGAGCCAAAGCGGG